CUCCGGCUCCGGCUCCAGGACGCGGACUCCGGCUGCGGGACGCGGACUCAGGCUCCGGCUCCGGGAUGCGGGACGCGAACUCAGGCUCCGGCUCCGGGAUGCGGGCUCCGGCUCUGGCUCCGGGAUGCGGGCUCCGGCUCUGGCUGCGGGACGCGGACUCAGGCUCCGGCUGCGGGACGCGGACUCAGGCUCCGGCUCCGGGACGCGGACUCAGGCUCCGGCUCCGGGACGCGGACUCAGGCUCCGGCUCCGGGAUGCGGGCUCCGGCUCCGGGAUGCGGGACGCGGACUCAAGCUCAGGCUGCGGGACGCGGACCGAACGUUGUCGCAGGCGGAGCCGUCCGGCAUGCGAUCGGUUCCAGUUCCCAAGCGUGUGGCGAAAACGAAGCGCCCGCACGCCCCAUGUUAAGUUUAUACGAAAACUUUUCUUAAAGUUCUGGGUGAAUUUCAAGCAUCAUCAAUAAUCUCAUUAGAGAAGGAAAUCUCGGUAUUUUUUUCUUUUUAAUUUAUUUAUUUGACAGCCAGAGAUCACAAGCAGGCAGAGAGGCAGGCAGAGAGAGAGGAGGAAGCAGGCUCCCCGUGGAGCAGAGACCCCCGACGUGGGGCUCCAUCCCAGGACCCCGGGAUCAUGACCUGAGCCGAAGGCAGAGGCUUUAACCCACUGAACUACCAGGAGCCCCGGAAAUCUCGGUAUUUUAAAGGGGUUUUCAUCAGCCCCGAAUGAGCGCCGGCUCGUGAGGUCACACUGGAAGCGGCGUCGGUCCAGAUGACAGUCCCAGGCUCUCCGUCGUGGUGACCCGCGUCUCGGGGCCGCGGAGCCCUGGGGGAGCGUAGCCUCGACGUCGUGCUCGCGGUGCGGAGGUCCGCGGGCGGGGGUGGACGGGCUCUGCAGGCUGGUUCCGCGGGCGCUGGGUCUUGCGGGGGCUUUGGGUCAGAUGUAGAGUCGUUCUUUCAGCUCGUGCCCUAAAGUUGGAUCUCUGUCCCCCGCAUGGUCAGGGCUCGGGUCGCAGCAGGCCGGGUGUGCUCUGGUCCCCUUGGCACGGGGACCAGUGUCUACAGGCUGGAACCUGACUUGGGCGACCUUGUCCUCAGACGUGUACAGGAGCCCCGACCCCGCGCUCGUGGGCAGGUAACAGCUCCACCUGGCUCGGUAAGAUCAGGGGAUGCAUCUUUUCUUCAACCAGUGCAUAACAGAAUGUUUGAUGCCUACUGAGCCUUCACAUAAAUGUUGAAAGACUAAACCUUUCCGUGUACUGAAGUGAAACAUUUCCACAUUUCAUGUAUUCUCAGAUGCCUUGUUAGUAUGAAUUUCUUUGAUGGUGAAUAACAUUAACCCCAUUAGUGCUAGUUGCAGCCAUGGACUCAUUGCUUAGUAAAUAAAAAGCUAAAAAUAGAUUGAGAAGAGAAAAAUCAAGAUACUGUUAAUUUUUUUUUUUUUUUAACAAAACCUUAAAAUAGUAUUUCAACAAUAUUCUGCAGUUUUUGGUAUAUGGAUUUUGCACAUCUUCUGUCAGAUUUAUCCCCAAAUAGUUAAUAGCAUGUCCCAUUGUAAAUAGCACUUUUAAUUCAAUAUUCAAUUUUUGGGGAGUAUCUGCUAUAUAGAAAUAAAAUUGAUUUGUUUGUUGUCAACCAUGAUAAAUACACUUACUAGUUAUAGCAGCAUUUUUUAAGGUAGAUUUCAUUGGAUUUUCUACAUGGAUGAUCAUGUCUGCAAAUCAAAAUUUUACUUCUCUCUUUUGAAUCUACGUGCCAUUUAUUUAUUUUUCUUGCCUUAUUGCCCUGGCCAAGACACACCAGCAUAAUGUUGAAUAGAACUGAGAUCGUAUACCCUGUCUUGUUUCUCAUUUUAGGGGAAAAGCAUAAAAAUCUUCUACCAUUAAAUAUAGUGUUGUUUUAGGUUUUUUUGGUAGAUGCCUUUUAUGCUGUUGAAAUUCCUUUCUGGUCCCAGUUUGCUAAGAGCUUUUAUCAGAAUGGAUAAUGGAUUUUCUUGAAUGCUUUUUCUGGGUCUGUUGAGGUGAUAACAGGAUUUUUCUUUUUUAGAUUAUUAACAUGGUGAGUUGCAUUGAUUGGUCAGUGUUACACCAGUCUUGCAUCCUGUGAUCAACUUGAUUUAGCCAUAAUAUAUUAUGCUUUUUAUGUAUUCUUGGACUUGAUUGGCUAAAAUUUUGUUUAGAAUUUUUGCAUAUGUUCAUGAGGGAUACUACUGUGUAAUUGUUUUGUGUGAUGUCUGCCUUGUUUUGGGAUUAGGUUAAUACUGAUCUCACCAAAUGAGGAACAUUUUUUCUUCUUUUCAAUUUUGUGGAAGACUUACAUAGCUUUGAUAUUAAUUCUUCCUUAUAUGUCUGGUAGAAUAUACCAGUGAAUCCAUCUGGAGUUUUCUUUGUGGGAAACUUUUUGACCAUCAAAUUUAAUUUUUUUGAUAGAGAUAGGGUUGUUUAGAUUAUUUAUUCUUGAGUGACUUUUCAUGGUUUUUCUUUUAAGAUACUUGUUUCAUCUAAGUUGUUGACUGAAUUGGCAUAAAAAUAAGAAUUUUUUAAAGAUUUUUAUUUAUUUUUUAUUUGAGAGAGAGAAUGAGGGAGAAAGAGCAGAAAGAGGGAGGGUCAGAGGGAGAAGCAGACAGAUUCACUGCUGAAUAAGAAGCCCAAUGCAGGACUUGAUCCCAGGACUCGAGGAUCAUGACCUGAGCCAAAGGCAGACACUUAACCAACUGAGCCUCAUUGCCUUCGCUGAUUUUAAUUUGUAUUUGGUCACUGUAAUAAACUGUAAUUGUGACUAUAACAGCA